rnacentral:rRNA from 1 species
AUAUUCAGGGUAGCAAUAUUCUGGAUGUUCAGCGGCGCAAGGGUGCGUAACACGUGGGUAAUCUGCCGUGAAGCCCGGAAUAACUCGCUGAAAGGCGAGCUAAUACCGGAUGUGAAGUUUGGAAGGCAUCUUUUGGACUUCAAAGCUGGGGACCGUAAGGCCUGGCACUUCACGAUGAGCCCGCGGCCUAUCAGCUAGUUGGUGAGGUAAUGGCUCACCAAGGCUAAGACGGGUAGCUGGUCUGAGAGGACGACCAGCCACACUGGAACUGAGACACGGUCCAGACACCUACGGGUGGCAGCAGUCGAGAAUUUUUCACAAUGGGCGAAAGCCUGAUGGAGCGACGCCGCGUGGGGGAUGAAUGGCUUCGGCCCGUAAACCCCUGUCAUUUGCGAACAAGUUGUUUCACCUAACACGUGAAGCAUUGAUAGUAGCGAAAGAGGAAGGGACGGCUAACUCUGUGCCAGCAGCCGCGGUAAUACAGAGGUCCCAAGCGUUGUUCGGAUUCACUGGGCGUAAAGGGUGCGUAGGCGGUCGGGUAAGUCUGACGUGAAAUCUCCAAGCUCAACUUGGAAAUGGCGUAGGAUACUAUUCGGCUCGAGGAAUGGAGGGGAGACUGGAAUUCUCGGUGUAGCAGUGAAAUGCGUAGAUAUCGAGAGGAACACCAGUGGCGAAGGCGAGUCUCUGGACAUUUCCUGACGCUGAGGCACGAAAGCCAGGGGAGCAAACGGGAUUAGAUACCCCGGUAGUCCUGGCCCUAAACGGUGCACGUUUGCUGUAAGAGGAAUCGACCCCUUUUGUGGCGAAGCUAACGCGUUAAACGUG